GCCUUCAUCGAGAAUCGUUGGAGGUUCAUGCUCUGAUGAUGGAGCAUUUCACUCCUACAGUUAUGGAGACGAACGAUAAAAACAGAAAGCUGAGGUACACUGCAUACCGGGUGUUCGUGAGCUGGGUGUGGCGCUACUGCGGUAGGUCAAAUCGCCAUCGCUUGCCAGGUUGCGUCCUGAGAAAGAUACGGGAGGCCUUUCCAUCACCGUCUUACCAACUAUUUUCGUGGCCAUAGUACUCCAACUGCCACCUACUGCCACUCCCGAUCCAGUAGAUCCACGACAUGGUAAAUCUGAAGAGCCAGCCGAGCUGUUUUCAUUUUAAUAAACAUUUUCUCUCUGUCACUACAUGCCUCCGCCUCGUUCAAAAGAACCAUGCUGCGCUGCGUGCCCGCCUUUGAGCAAAGCUCGGCAUGCCAUGGGUUGAAAAAAAACGUCCAUCUGCCAACAUUGACGUUUGCUUGGGAGACAAAAUCAAUAUGUUGUGGUGUUGCCACCGAUUAAGGUGUACAGUGAUGAAGAUACUAAAUAGCCCUACGUGAGCGGGUGUUAUUUUUUUUUCUUUCUAAGGAGCGCUUGAAUGGCAGCUUACGUUAUAACUACGGUUCGGAUUUUUCGGUUUAAAUCGAUAAAGGUAUGCCGAAUCCAUUUUCGGAAUUCGGUUUUAACCGAAAAAGGUCAAUUUUUAGGUUCGGCAUUUUUGAUUUAAACUGAUAAAAGUAUGUUGAAUCCAUUUUCUAAAAUUUAGUUUUAACUGGAAAAGGUCACUUUGACCUUCCAGUCGUACUGCUGAGCCAUGGCGGAAAAGUGGAACGACAGUGUCCAUCGAAACGAGUCCGAAUGUAUGAGAUACACGGGUGCCAUCACGACGUUAUGGUUUAAUGUGCGCAUCAUCGAUUGGAAUGUGAAGUCCGAAAUG